rnacentral:rRNA from 1 species
UCUGAUGUUAGCGGCGGACGGGUGAGUAACACGUGGAUAACCUACCUAUAAGACUGGGAUAACUUCGGGAAACCGGAGCUAAUACCGGAUAAUAUUUUGAACCGCAUGGUUCAAAAGUGAAAGACGGUCUUGCUGUCACUUAUAGAUGGAUCCGCGCUGCAUUAGCUAGUUGGUAAGGUAACGGCUUACCAAGGCAACGAUGCAUAGCCGACCUGAGAGGGUGAUCGGCCACACUGGAACUGAGACACGGUCCAGACUCCUACGGGAGGCAGCAGUAGGGAAUCUUCCGCAAUGGGCGAAAGCCUGACGGAGCAACGCCGCGUGAGUGAUGAAGGUCUUCGGAUCGUAGAACUCUGUUAUUAGGGAAGAACAUAUGUGUAAGUAACUGUGCACAUCUUGACGGUACCUAAUCAGAAAGCCACGGCUAACUACGUGCCAGCAGCCGCGGUAAUACGUAGGUGGCAAGCGUUAUCCGGAAUUAUUGGGCGUAAAGCGCGCGUAGGCGGUUUUUUAAGUCUGAUGUGAAAGCCCACGGCUCAACCGUGGAGGGUCAUUGGAAACUGGAAAACUUGAGUGCAGAAGAGGAAAGUGGAAUUCCAUGUGUAGCGGUGAAAUGCGCAGAGAUAUGGAGGAACACCAGUGGCGAAGGCGACUUUCUGGUCUGUAACUGACGCUGAUGUGUGAAAAGCGUGGGGAUCAAACAGGAUUAGAUACCCUGGUAGUCCACGCCGUAAACGAUGAGUGCUAAGUGUUAGGGGGUUUCCGCCCCUUAGUGCUGUCAGCUAACCGCAUUAAGCACGUCCGCCUG